rnacentral:tRNA from 1 species
GCCUUCGUGGUGUAGUGGUCAGCAAGGUGGGUGCGUAUGCCAGAGGUCCGUGGUUCGAGUCCCGGCGAAGGCG